rnacentral:rRNA from 1 species
UACGUAGGGUGCAAGCGUUAAUCGGAAUUACUGGGCGUAAAGCGUGCGCAGGCGGUUUUUUAAGUCAGCUGUGAAAUCCCCGGGCUUAACCUGGGAAUGGCAGUUGAGACUGGACGGCUAGAGUGUGUCAGAGGGGGGUAGAAUUCCACGUGUAGCAGUGAAAUGCGUAGAGAUGUGGAGGAACACCGAUGGCGAAGGCAGCCCCCUGGGAUAACACUGACGCUCAUGCACGAAAGCGUGGGGAGCAAACAGG